rnacentral:rRNA from 1 species
ACGAUGACCACUUCGGUGCGGAUUAGUGGCGAACGGGUGAGUACACGUGGGCAAUCUGCCCUUCACUCUGGGACAAGCCCUGGAAACGGGGUCUAAUACCGGAUAUGAGCCUGGGAGGCGUCGCCCGGGUUGUAAAGCUCCGGCGGUGAAGGAUGAGCCCGCGGCCUAUCAGCUUGUUGGUGAGGUAACGGCUCACCAAGGCGACGACGGGUAGCCGGCCUGAGAGGGCGACCGGCCACACUGGGACUGAGACACGGCCCAGACUCCUACGGGAGGCAGCAGUGGGGAAUAUUGCACAAUGGGCGCAAGCCUGAUGCAGCGACGCCGCGUGAGGGAUGACGGCCUUCGGGUUGUAAACCUCUUUCAGCAGGGAAGAAGCGCAAGUGACGGUACCUGCAGAAGAAGCGCCGGCUAACUACGUGCCAGCAGCCGCGGUAAUACGUAGGGCGCAAGCGUUGUCCGGAAUUAUUGGGCGUAAAGAGCUCGUAGGCGGCUUGUCACGUAGGGUGUGAAAGCCCGGGGCUUAACCCCGGGUCUGCAUUCGAUACGGGCUGGCUAGAGUGUGGUAGGGGAGAUCGGAAU